UCCUACGGGGCGCAGCAGUGAGGAAUAUUGGUCAAUGGGCGGGAGCCUGAACCAGCCAAGUCGCGUGAGGGAAGACGGUCCUAUGGAUUGUAAACCUCUCUAGGCGGGGAGCAAUGCCGGGCACGCGUGCCCGGAGGGAGAGUACCCGCAGAAUAAGCAUCGGCUAACUCCGUGCCAGCAGCCGCGGUAAUACGGAGGAUGCGAGCGUUAUCCGGAUUUAUUGGGUUUAAAGGGUGCGUAGGCGGACUGUUAAGUCAGCGGUAAAAGCCCGGGGCUCAACCCCGGCGAGCCGUUGAAACUGGCUG
rnacentral:rRNA from 1 species